rnacentral:rRNA from 1 species
GUGUGAGUGUGUAAGAGCGCAUGGUGGAUGCCUUGGCAUCAGGAGCCGAUGAAGGACGUGGAAAUCUGCGAUAAGCCUCGGGGAGCCGAUAAACGGGCUGUGAUCCGAGGAUGUCCGAAUGGGGGAACCCCGCCGCAUGCGAGUGCGGUGACCCGCACCUGAAUAUAUAGGGUGUGUGGAGGGACUGACGAUUCUGUCGUGAAGCGUUUGUACCCAGUAAAUACUCGGGCUCAUUUGCAUUACCAACUUGCUAAAAUGAUAAAAGAAAAAUAUUAA